rnacentral:piRNA from 1 species
UAAACAUACAGAUGAAACAAAACUUCAAU